GAUGAAGAACGCAGCGAAAUGCGAUAAGUAAUGUGAAUUGCAGAAUUCAGUGAAACAUCGAAUCUUUGAACGCAUCUUGCGCUCCUUGGUAUUCUGAGGAGCAUGCCUGUUUGAGUGUCAUUAAAUUCUCAACUACACUGACUUUGAAUUGGUGUGGCUUGGAUUUGGGGGGAAAAUUGUUGUGGGCUUUUUGUAUAGUCUGCUCCCCUGAAAUUGAUUAGCGGUACCUUUGUGGAACUGUCUACAGGUGUGAUAAUUAUCUACAUCUUAGACAUCUGCUGGAAUGCUGCUUUCUAAACCUUACUUGUAUUGACAAUCUUGACCUCAAAUCAGGUAGGACUACCCGCUGAACUUAAGCAUAUCAAUAAGCGGAGGA
rnacentral:misc_RNA from 1 species